UUUUUUUUUUUUUGAGACGGAGUCUUGCUCUGUCACCCAGGCUGAAGUGCAGUGGCACGAUCUCGGCUCACUGCAACCUCUGCCUCCCGGGUUCAAGCGAUUCUCUUGCCUCAGCCUCCCAAGUAGCUGGAACUACAGGCACGUGCCACCACACCCGGCUAAUUUUUGUAAUUUUAGUAGAUACAGGGUUUUACCAUAUUGCUCAGGCUGGUCUCGAACUCCUGACCUCAGGUGAUCCACCCGCCUCGGCCUCCCAAAGUGCUGGAAUUACAGGCGUGAGCCACCGUGCCCAGCCCUACACAGUGCCUUGCUAGGUGCACAGUAAUCUGUUGUUGACGUGAGUUGCCCAGAAUUGAAAUUGGCUUCCAGCAAUGGAAAUUGGAGUUAGGGAAGCAGAAGAUGAAACAUACCUUACCAGCCCUGAAGUUUCUUCUUCCAAGAUAUUUGUGGUUGUGUCAGCUGAUCCAGCUGCUCUCUGUUGGAUGUUGGCAAUAAAUGUUUCACCAAAUUCCACCCACUAUUUGUAGGAGUUGGGCAGAACUGAGCUGUUAAAGCCUAGAAACUUUGAUAGUGAAUAAUAACCCAUGUGCCUUAGUUUUGAAAGCUUAAUAUGUGUUUGCACAUUUUUUAAAAAAGCUAUGAAAUAAUUUGGUUUGCUGGAACAGGUUAAGUUUUAUUUUGUUUUAAAAAAGGUUGAAAAGUAUUUUAAAUAAAAGACUAAUUGAAAUGGAAAGAUUAUAUUUUGGGAGAAGCAAGAAGAAAGUGUAUUUUAAAAUCCAGUAAUGUGCCUUUGGAAAUGUAAUGAUUAUCUUUUUUUAAUUAAAUAAGUGAAAUGAAUACUUAGAAACUAUUUGUACUAAGAUAGCUCUUCCAUUUUCAUAAUACCAUCCUUUAUUUAUGCAUGGAUUCUUACAUUUGAAGGAAGUCUUCCCUAUGUUACCAAGCAAUGGGCUGGAAAGUGUCACCCCCAUUUGCUGUGGAACUCAGGUUCAAAGAGGGCAGAGACUUGACUCCGAUCAGACAGCAAGGUGAGAACUGGAAGGCAGCAUCCCAGGCCCUGUGUGAAGGUUCAUAAUGGUUCACGGACUUAGAGCAGACAGCCACUCAGUGGGCCAGAAAGCAGGCAAGCAGCAGGUGGGCAAGUCAGAUUUUAACAUGUGAGGAAGGCCAUGACUUCUACCCCAGCCCAGCAGGAACGUUGUAGUGUAUCCAACAAUUGGUGUCAACCGUGAGUGAGACUCUGCGUGGGCACAGCGGGUGGGGGGCGGGGGGCGUGCAGGAGAGGAGAGAAGGAUGAAUCACAUGUGGUCACCAGCCUGUGAAGGCUUUUGAAGACUCCAGGAGGAGUAGAGAAGGUAACCAUCUGUUAUAACCCAGCUGAGCCCAGGCAAAGUCAUAAAUAAGCUCAACUUGCUAGUUCUUCCCCCAGGAUUAUCAUGAAGUUAACAAGACAAGAUAUAUGUGCUGAGUACUUUACAUGUUUAAAAAUUCUCUCAUAUGUGUAUAUGAAGAUUGUAUUACUCUCCUGAAAUUUUACUACCUGCACAUUUCAGUUUUCAGGAUAACACAGGCUCUCUAUGCCUCAGACUGGGCAUUUUCCCCUUCUCGGUUCCCAUGAGCCCCUUAAGAUCUGAGGAGAGGCUGGAAGCGUGGCUCAUGCCUGUAAUCCAAGUACUGGGAGGCCAAGGUGGGUGGAUCAGCUGAGGUCAGGAGUUCGAGACUAGCCAUGGCCAACAUGGUAAAACCCUGUGUCUACUAAAAAUACAAAAAUUAGCUGGGCAUGGUGGUGGCUGCCUGUAAUCCCAGCUACUCAGGAGGCUGAGGCAGGAGUAUUGCUUGAACCCGGGAGGCGGAGGUUACAGUGAGCAGAGAUCGUGCCACUGCAUUCCAGCCUGGGGGUCAAGAGCAAAACUCCACCUCAAAAAAAAAAAAAAAAAAAAGAAAAAUCUGAGGAGAGAGUUUAAUGAGGUGAGCCUGCAUGCUUGGAUUAGGAGAUGCCAGAAAUAUGAUGGAAUGCAGCAACUUGGAUGGAAACGUCCAGUGGUCUGCCCCAUGGCCUCGAGAGAGUGAGGUCUCCCCAAGAAGCCGGGAUGGGUGAUCACUUGCUGUGAGGGCAGUCAGAGCAGGCUCAUGGCCCUGGUGCAGAAGUGCAGCUUACCCCUGGGACCCCAUCACCUUCCAGGGCAUGGCCUGACCCGGGGUCAAGAACUUUGCUUCUAGGAUUUGUUUAGAGCGGGGAUUCCUGACCUGGGUGACAUGAAUGGAAUUCAGGGAUCCACGAACUUGGAGAGGAAAACAAUUACAUCUUUAUUUCCACUAACAAUCUAAAUGAAAUUGAAUAUUUCCUUUAAUGAAUAUGGGAAACACAUCACACUAGUGGUGUUUGUCACCACUAGAAACUGCAGCUAUUUUAUAUGGUGUCACUGUUAUCGCAGAUAGCUCAGCAUAACAUUUACACUUGCUACUACUUCAAAAUUGUGGAAGUUGAUAAACCAUAGAUCUUACUAGUUAGCAUAUUCAUAAGUAAGCAUGUAUUUUUCUAUAUCACGAUGUCAAAAUUAUGUUAGAAACAUUGUCUUUAUUAUUGCUUUCUUUUGUCAUCUCACGUAUUUAUGUAUUUAGAAACAUGCUGGGAAGGGGUUCACGGGCCUCAGCGGAAUGCUGAGGGCUUCAUGACACACACAAGAAAGCUCAGAAUCCCUGGUUCACUCUUGUUGAGGCUCUUAAAUUGUUAGAAAAUAGACUCCCUAAGAUGACAAGUCACAUUAUCUCUCCGCCCCACCAAGGAAGGGGUUUGUGUAGAUUUUUUUCAAAUAGUAUACGAAACCAUUUCUUUCAAGAAUGCCGCGUUUAAAGGCUCUUUUUUUAAAACAAACAAACUAUAGUGGGCUCAUUCCGCUUCCUCUCUUUCUUCCUCUUUUCCUCUCGCAACCGAAACACAGGUGUGCAGCAUGCAGUUUCCUGAGGGUGGGGAGGAAGGACCACCCACAGUGUGGCCUGCCUGGCCUGGGGUUUUCUGGGAGCAAAGGGUGUUUAACCCUUUCAUUGCAAAGAAGCAAGAGAAAGGGCAGUGGCAGGGUGAGGUCUGUGCAGGUGCCCCCUGCCCUUUCGUCUGGGUAAACAGAACCCAUCUUCAUGGCUGUGUAAACGCUGGAGAGCCUUCGUUCCCUCUCGUUGUUCAUGCUUGCUUCAGUCCCUUUUAGCCACCGAGAAAUAUUGGGAAGAAAAGAACCCUCAGUGUAGUUAAAGAGAUUAAAACCCGUUCACAAGAGAGAAUAGAAUAUUGACAGUGCCAUCUUAAAUUUGAAGCAGCGAUUCUUUCCAAGCUCCUCAUGGGCUGAGGGCUUGUAUCACAUCCAUUUCCAUUGAAAGUUGACAAAAACAAGAUCGUAUUGCAGAAUGUCUUCUUGGCUCUCACAAGUUAAAUUCCUAACAAUGUGAUGUGCCAUUAUAUGAUAAAAGUUACCAGUGUCUACCCGGUUUGUGCCUGAAAAUCCACUGCUUAUUACUACUGAUUUAUGGGUUUGUUUUUCACCAAUGAAUUGAAAACAUGCAUUUUUUUCCACCUCUGCUCAUACUGACACUUCGCUGGAGGACAGGAAGUCACGCUGUGCGUGCAUGGAUUUGCCGUCAUGCAGUGUGUGCUCAGAGGGAGUCCUCAGAGCUGUACCCAGAGCGGGAAGCACGUCAUUCAUUCACCCUACUUAAGAAAUAUCCAUUGACGGUUGAUUAUAUGCGGGCUCCGUGCUCGGGAGCUCUGGGAGACAGUCGUGAAUGUGAUCAACAUGGCUCUGCCUGCAAAGAGCUCAGAGAUACCCACCGAGGAGCACAGGUGGAUUAGGAGGCACCGGUGGUACAGGGAGGCUCCACAUUUCAGCUUCCUGUCAGUCACUCCUGAGUGUCUCAACAGCCCCUGGAAGUCAGGAUGGAGGGAGGGGCUACACAUUCCAAGAAGGAGAGGCAGCGUUGGCCCACAGAGCGGCCUUGGUCUCAGACCUUGGACUUAGAGGACUGGAGCUUGUGGACAGACCCAUGUUGUCCAACCUCUCACCCUGAAUGCAGAAAGCCAGAAUGCAGAUUUGUUCAUUUUCAACAGAUGACUGCAGGACCAGCGUUGUCACAGGGGCCAGCAUUCUUUCACCAGGCAAAGCCAGCUGCUUCUCUGCCUGGUAUCAAGCUGCUUGGGCAGCCAAUUCAUAAUCAGAGUGCCAAUUUAUAAGUGUAGAAUGAGAAAUAGAACUGCCACAGGAAGGAGAAUCACUGCCUGGUCGGCCCUGUGGGACUUUCUGGAGACUUCUGUCAAAUAUGCUUGUGUAAGAGUGGGAGCCAUGAAUAAAUGCACGUUUUUGUUUGUUUA